ACACGACUACAUUAGAUACCCGGGUAGUCCUAGCCGUAAACGAUACUCGCUAGGUGUCGGCCACGGUGCGACCGUUGUCGGUGCCGUAGGGAAGCCGUGAAGCGAGCCACCUGGGAAGUACGGCCGCAAGGCUGAAACUUAAAGGAAUUGGCGGGGGAGCACCACAACAGGUGGAGCCUGCGGUUUAAUUGGACUCAACGCCGGGCAACUCACCGGGGACGACAGCAAUAUGUAGGCCAGGCUGAAGACCUUGCCUGAAUCGCUG
rnacentral:rRNA from 1 species